rnacentral:rRNA from 1 species
UACCACAUCUAAGGAAGGCAGCAGGCGCGCAAAUUACCCAAUUCUAACAGUUUGAGAGAGGUAGUAACAAGAAAUAACAAUACAAGGCAAUUAAAAUGCUUUGUAAUUGGAAUGAUAGAAAUUUAAACCCUUUUUAAAGUAUCAAUUGGAGGGCAAGUCUGGUGCCAGCAGCCGCGGUAAUUCCAGCUCCAAUAGCGUAUAUUAAAAUUGUUGCAGUUAAAAAGCUCGUAGUUGAAAUUCUGCUAAAAGUAACCGGUCUGCUUUUAAUAAAAGUGGUAUCUUGGUGUGUAUUUAGCAAUGAUGUCCUUUGAAGUGUUUUUUACUUUAUUGUAAUAAAGCAUAUUCAGGACUUUUACUUUGAGAAAAUUAGAGUGUUUCUAGCAGGCUGACGCUUUGAAUACUGCAGCAUGGAAUAAUAAGAUAGGAUUUUAGUUCUACGUUAUUGGUUUUAAGAGCUAAWUUAAUGAUUGAUAGGGACAGUUGGGGGCAUUUGUAUUUAACUGUCAGAGGUGAA